rnacentral:lncRNA from 1 species
AAAAAUUUAUAAGUUUAUUCCCAUAAUAGAUAAAUAAAAAUAAAACAAAGAAAAAAAAUUGAAACUGCAAAGCUUUAAAAUAAAGCAAACUCCAAAUCCCCAGAAAAGCUCAAAGGACCAAAAAUACCCACAACACCUAAUGUUACUUCCUAGGGAGCCUAACUCCCUCUUGUUGUUCAUCCGAUUCUGGAAUCACUUCAAAAACAAGAUCGUCUUUAGGUACAAUCGAAAGACUGCCAGCCAAUUGCACCAUAUACGUCUUCAACAUUACUCGAGUUGAGCCAGAGGUCUUGAAUCGGGUGUUAUUACCAUGAUAAAUUUUG